UACGGAGGAUCCAAGCGUUAUCCGGAAUCAUUGGGUUUAAAGGGUCCGUAGGCGGGCCUGUAAGUCAGGGGUGAAAUCUUUCGGCUCAACCGGAAAAUUGCCAUUGAUACUGCAGGGCUUGAAUUAUUGGGAAGUAACUAGAAUAUGUAGUGUAGCGGUGAAAUGCUUAGAUAUUACAUGGAAUACCGAUUGCGAAGGCAGGUUACUAUCAAUAUAUUGACGCUGAUGGACGAAAGCGUGGGGAGCGAACAGG
rnacentral:rRNA from 1 species